GACGAAGGAUGCAAGCGUUAUCCGGAUUCAUUGGGUUUAAAGGGAGCGUAGGUGGCCUUAUAAGUCAGCGGUGAAAUCUCUGGGCUUAACCCAGAAAUUGCCAUUGAUACUGUAGGGCUUGAGUACAGUUGCUGUGGGCGGAAUAUGACAUGUAGUGGUGAAAUACAUAGAGAUGUCAUAGAACACCGAUUGCGAAGGCAGCUCACAAAACUGUAACUGACACUGAGGCUCGAAAGUGCGGGGGAUCAAACAGG
rnacentral:rRNA from 1 species